rnacentral:ncRNA from 1 species
GCAGAAUAGGAGUGUGCGCGUUAAGUGCCGGGUGAACGGGGAGUUGUCACCCGGACGAAAAGCUUAAAUGCUUGCGGUGCACAUUCCGCAUCCCGCUGC